rnacentral:lncRNA from 1 species
CCCACAUCUCCGUAACCGUCCACCUUCCUCGGACCCACCUGCUCCAAGCUACACUGGGCCUGCCAAUGAUCGAGGUGGCCCAGGUGCGUUCAGUGCACCUCGUUGGGGUGGUCCCAGAAAUGACAACACUCGAACUGGAUAUGGUGGUAAUGCUGGUCGCGGUGGUGGUUGGGGAAGCAGAAGUGGUGGUUGGGAUGGGAGGGCACGAGAAGUGAACCCCUUUGGAGAUGAUGACGAAACAGUGCAGCCGUUUAGUGAGCAAGAGAACGGUGGUAUUAACUUUGAUGCGUAUGAAGAUAUACCGGUUGAGACAAGUGGAGACAAUGUUCCCCCUCCCGUGAUUACCUUUGCAGAUAUUGACUUGGG